rnacentral:rRNA from 1 species
AGCGAACGCUGGCGGCAGGCUUAACACAUGCAAGUCGAACGGGCGUAGCAAUACGUCAGUGGCAGACGGGUGAGUAACACGUGGGAACGUACCCUUUGGUUCGGAACAACACAGGGAAACUUGUGCUAAUACCGGGAUAAGCCCUUACGGGGAAAGAUUUAUCGCCGAAGGAUCGGCCCGCGUCUGAUUAGCUUGUUGGUGAGGUAAUGGCUCACCAAGGCGACGAUCAGUAGCUGGUCUGAGAGGAUGAUCAGCCACACUGGGACUGAGACACGGCCCAGACUCCUACGGGAGGCAGCAGUGGGGAAUAUUGGACAAUGGGCGCAAGCCUGAUCCAGCCAUGCCGCGUGAGUGAUGAAGGCCCUAGGGUUGUAAAGCUCUUUUGGCGGGGAAGAUAAUGACGGUACCGCAGAAUAAGCCCGGCUAACUUCGUGCCAGCAGCCGCGGUAAAGUCUGUACU